GAUGAAGAACGCAGCGAAAUGCGAUAAGUAAUGUGAAUUGCAGAAUUCAGUGAAUCAUCGAAUCUUUGAACGCACAUUGCGCCCCUUGGUAUUCCGAGGGGCAUGCCUGUUCGAGCGUCAUUAUAACCCCUCAAGCUCAGCUUGGUGUUGGGGCCUGCUGCACUGGCAGCCCUUAAAAUCAGUGGCGGCGCCAUCUGGCUCUAAGCGUAGUAAUUCUUCUCGCUAUGGAGUCCUGGUGGAUGCUUGCCAUCAACCCCCAAUUUUUCUAUGGUUGACCUCGGAUCAGGUAGGGAUACCCGCUGAACUUAAGCAUAUCAAUAAGCGGAA
rnacentral:misc_RNA from 1 species